GUCUAGACCCAUGGACUGCACAACACCAAACGUGACCACUAAUGUAAACUGUGGACUCUGGGUGAUGACGAUGAGUCUGUGCACCAAAUGUGCCACCAGCACAUCUGUCCCUUGCAGCCUCACGUUCACAGUUCACUUGGAGAAGAGUCCCGGGAACACCUGGCACCGUGCACACCUCGCCGGAACACUGACAGCUCCAGAAACCAUGCCAGCGCCCGUCACGGAAAUGGCACAUUUCAGGGACAGCUCCAGCGAGGACCAUCCGCUGCCCCGCUUCCAAAAUGAUGACAAUAAACACAGGAUGGCAGCAUUCGGAGGACAGGGAAGGAAAAGGCAUGUGGCCCGGUGAAGCAAGCCGUGCCCACGUGACGGGGGGCGCUGGGGGACGCAUCUGCUUCCCACCCCGCUCGGGGCAGCACAACCUGAAAGUCUGCAAAAUCUGGGAGUGAGUGCUUUAAAAAAGCGGGUCGUAAAUACCUGGUCGUACUUACAGUUAUGAAAACGUGCUAACAAGUGUUACGAUAAACGGCGCGUUUUACUCACAGAAAUUCAGUCUUCAUGUAGAGGAGGAUAAAGAAAAACUUCAACUUUCAGUCAGAAUUCGUACAGAAUUAAAGUAAGUCCUUGUCCUCUACACAAGCCAGGCCUGAGCUUAUGAAUGAACCAGGGAGCCAAGGGUCAUCAGGAGUCCUGCCCAGGAGGUGCUGACAGACACAGUUUUCCAGUUCUCCGUGUGGACGGCACAUUUACCCAAACAAGUUCCAAGUGCAAAGAGGAGGAACGGUAUUUCCCACUACAUUGUAAACUAAAAGCAGCAUACGUUUAUUUUUGAGCAACAUGCUUUAAGGAAAGAGCCUAGGGCAUGGAAAUCUCAAAGUAAUCCAGAGCGUUUUGCUCUAAAAUUCUGUCCGCAGCACGGUGUAUUUCGCUUAUGGUAUUAUCACAGCAUUGACUUGCCCUGUGACCUCGCUGACGCAUUUGCUCACCGGCUGGCCGUCGGCUGGGACGGUGGAAGGGACUAACCCGUGGCUUUUUCACCGUGGACCAUGCUGGCCUGGUGGCAGCAGUCCACGAGCAGCAGGACGGUCAAGUCUCCCUGCGGAGGCACCUUCCCAGGCUGUGUUUGCACCAAAUGUGCCAUUGAGUAUCCCUGGGACUGACCGAGACCCGACUGCACCCGGGUCAUACCACCCACAGUCCGUACGGACCCAUCCGCGCCCCUCCCUAUUGUGAAUCGACUCCUGUGGACCAAGGCCGCAUGUCCCCACUACCACGGCGUCAAGCUCCCAGUCCGGGGUCUCAUCAUCUACCUGGUGCCCACAUGCAGCUUCUUGGAGGCCAACCCCUCCUGAUUUAGAGACCUAGGAUCUAAAAGAUUAGCUCCCUGUCCUUCACCCCUGUGUGACAUUCCUGGAAACGGUCAGACGUGGGGACAGGGUUCUUGCCACAGACAUCCCCACCGGAGCAGAGGAACGGGGACGUGCCGUAGCUCCUGGUCCACGACGACUCUGAAAUCCCUGCCACGCCACGGUCAGCGGGGCUGGCCCGGGGGACCCGCAAGUCCGGCGUCCCUCAGGAAGCCCCAGCUCCGGGUCCCCUCCUGCUCUUCCGAGGGCCUCUCUGGGCCGGCCUGCCGCUCGCUCUGGUCCUUGGCGUCGCCCAGGGGCUCUUAUAACCACCCUUCAGGAAGACAGCCUUCCUUUUCCACGGGAACCGGAGGGUGUGCCGAUGACAGGCCUUCUCGCCUGGCUUCCCGCUUGUAGAAAACGGGGCCCUCUCCGGUCCGAGCGGGUGUCGCAUUCUCGUGCCCAGCGCUCCUAAGACCGCGCGCCGUCUUUGCAUUUUACAGCUCCGUCCGUCCAGUCAACGAAAGCCGCGUCCUCGGGGGCCUGCGGGACCUCUCUUUCUCCGGCUGUCUUGCAGCUCUUUCUGGUGGCGCUCUGUCGCCCCGUGUGGACCCGCGGGCCUGCUCCCCCCUGCACGAAGGGUCCCGCGGCACCCCCUCACCCCCAGGUGUCACAUCACCUCACGAACCCUCUGCCAGCUCUGGAGCCUGGGCACGAGAGCUUGUCUCACCCUCUAAGCCAGCGGGUCCUGGCGUUCCACACCCCCCAAGCCCACGUGAAGACUGAACAACUCGCCCCUUCUUCUCUUCUUUCCAUCCCACUCCUGCGGCGUCCCCUCACAGACGGCUGAAGAGCCAGGGGGGCGGCCAGCGUGGGAAACCCCCCGGCAACCCCCCGAGACCUGGUUUGCCACGUCACCCUGGCAGCCCCCCAAGUGCGCCUGUGCGUUUUCUACCAGUCAGGUUACCAGAGGCGUCGCCCCCGCCGCUGUCGUCGCCUCUACAAGACCCAGGCCACCACGGCCCCCUCUCCGCAGAGCACUUUUACACCCAGCCUCCACCAGUCGUCCGCCCUUUGUUCUUCCAGCCUGUGUCCCCAGCCCCCGCUCACUGCCUUGUCCCAAAGCCAACGUCACACGUUUCGGUUUUUUGCCGUUGCUUUGUCCAUCAUCUUACUUCCAGGAACCUGUUUCUCCAUCAGGUUGCUUUUGCUUUUCGCCUUGAAACGGGGUGGUUUAGCACAACUAUGAAUUCAACUUGGCCUGAGCUCGGCUGGACCCCGCUUCUCUGCGGCGGUCAUUGAUGCGUCCGUGGGCAACCUGGGAGUCAGCCAGGCCUGGCUGGCCGAGGGACAUGCCGACCGGCGGGCCUACCUCCGCCCCGUGUGGCACCUCGUUCUCAGCAGAACAGCCUCUCCCACACGGAGGAAGAGCUUUAAGGAGACGCCGGGCGCCUGGUGAGGGCCGGCCCGGAACUCCGCACGACUCCUGCCCCACAUCUGACGGGUCACCGCAAGUCAAAGACCAGCCUGGCUCACAGCUGGUGGAAGAGACCCUUCUUCUGAUGGCAAGGGUGGCAAAGCUUGGUCCACUCGUGUGCACUACAGACUGAACCCAGGACUUGGUUUUGGUGGGAACUAUGCGAGUAAGAGAAGGAAAUGGGACAAAAACAAGAAAACCGCUUGGUCGGUGCGUGUUCGAAUUCCGCCAAGAAACACUCCGGGAAAGCCACCACCAUAUCUUUCUGCGUGUUUUUUAACACUUAGCUUUUCUCCGCUCUUUCUCCCUACUUCUCCGCCCCCACCCACGACACAGCUCAUCACAAUCUCAAAGAAUUGACAUGGCCAACGUGUAGGGGAGAAUCGAGAUCUGAAGCAACUUGUUUCUUCCACCGUAAGCCAUAGGAAAAAAAUUCCAACUUUGCCGUCCAUAGAAUAUUAUCACGGCUUGGGGCACAGACGCUUUUGUUUAAAAAUGACAUGUGUCCAAACAGUGAAAUACUUUGAAAUGUCAUAAAACUCACAGCAACAUUUACACUUCAGUUGAAAAUCAAAACAAAUUCCUGGCUGGAACAAAUUUCUGUGUGAUGCGUGUGUUUUUCCCCAAAGUCAACUUCUGUGGGAUAGUAAGGUUGAUAUGCUGACCUCUGUUUGAAUGAAGCGAUUAAGGAGUUGUCGCCCGGCAACAGAGUCGGCAUGUUUGAUGUUUGGUUCAGGGAGGUUCACAUCUGGAUAUAUUUUUAAGAGGUCCUCUGAUUCGGGUAAAAAUAAUAGUUUGCUCUUACAUGGUUUGUCUCUGAUGGCUGUCAAAAUUAUAAGAACAAAUGGUACAGGUUGGGCUUGAAAAUAAUAGCUGCCUUUGGGACACGUGAAGCUUCUGGACCCAUCUCAUAAAUCCCAGUGGAAACGGGUCCCUCGGGACGGUGGUUGACGGGUUUGAAUCUGUUGUGUGCUUCAUUUCCCUUGUCCGUCUUUCACGUGUUCAUCCUCUUUGUAUUACGUUUCCUGUUUCUACACCGAGUUCUACACCAAGUUGGAGUUCUGCUCCAACUCAGGCUCGUCAGGCAAAAACGAUGUUUGACUCUGAAUACCUAUCUGGUCUGCUCCUGACGUUGUUAAAUGCAACGAAAACCCGUCCCCUUCAUACUGAUCUCUUGCGUACCGUCGUGGGAAUAUAAUGUUUGUGACUCAUCAGGUAGCAAAGUGGUCUAGCUUUUAAACAUGCGGCACUUUAAGACUUUGACAGCUAAAACCGUAAAAUACAAUGAAGCAAUAUGUUUCUUGUUUACAUUUAUGGCACUCAAAAUGUGCCGGUUUAGGGCCAUAAAAAGAAGAAAAAAAGUGGUAUAAUUACAUUCAUCGUGACAGAAAAUUUAAAAAAAGUAAAGCUUCUCCACGUGAAUUGUCGUGCACGAAUUUGCGGAGUCUUUUCCUUAUUAACUCAUUUGGUUUUUAUGCAGCAAACAACUCACGGCUUAAACACCACGCUAAUGUCUUGCUCAAGUACUAGGAACACAAGAUUAACUAAAUUGCUAACAAUAAAGUAA